rnacentral:rRNA from 1 species
GACGAACGCUGGCGGCGUGCUUAACACAUGCAAGUCGAACGAUGAAGAAGAGCUUGCUCUUCGGAUUAGUGGCGAACGGGUGAGUAACACGUGACUAACCUGCCCCUUUCUCUGGGAUAACGCUCCGAAAGGAUUGCUAAUACCGGAUACUACCAUCGAGGCACAUGCCUUGAUGUGGAAAGUUUUUCGGAAAGGGAUGGAGUCGCGGCCUAUCAGCGUGUUGGUGAGGUAACGGCUCACCAAGGCGACGACGGGUAGCCGGCCUGAGAGGGCGACCGGCCACACUGGGACUGAGACACGGCCCAGACUCCUACGGGAGGCAGCAGUGGGGAAUAUUGCACAAUGGGCGAAAGCCUGAUGCAGCGACGCCGCGUGAGGGAUGAAGGUCUUCGGAUUGUAAACCUCUUUCAGUAGGGACGAAGCGAAAGUGACGGUACCUAAAGAAGAAGCACCGGCUAACUACGUGCCAGCCGCCGCCGUAA